GAGAAGCUUGCUUCUCUGAUGUUAGCGGCGGACGGGUGAGUAACACGUGGAUAACCUACCUAUAAGACUGGGAUAACUUCGGGAAACCGGAGCUAAUACCGGAUAAUAUUUUGAACCGCAUGGUUCAAAAGUGAAAGACGGUCUUGCUGUCACUUAUAGAUGGAUCCGCGCUGCAUUAGCUAGUUGGUAAGGUAACGGCUUACCAAGGCAACGAUGCAUAGCCGACCUGAGAGGGUGAUCGGCCACACUGGAACUGAGACACGGUCCAGACUCCUACGGGAGGCAGCAGUAGGGAAUCUUCCGCAAUGGGCGAAAGCCUGACGGAGCAACGCCGCGUGAGUGAUGAAGGUCUUCGGAUCGUAAAACUCUGUUAUUAGGGAAGAACAUAUGUGUAAGUAACUGUGCACAUCUUGACGGUACCUAAUCAGAAAGCCACGGCUAACUACGUGCCAGCAGCCGCGGUAAUACGUAGGUGGCAAGCGUUAUCCGGAAUUAUUGGGCGUAAAGCGCGCGUAGGCGGUUUUUUAAGUCUGAUGUGAAAGCCCACGGCUCAACCGUGGAGGGUCAUUGGAAACUGGAAAACUUGAGUGCAGAAGAGGAAAGUGGAAUUCCAUGUGUAGCGGUGAAAUGCGCAGAGAUAUGGAGGAACACCAGUGGCGAAGGCGACUUUCUGGUCUGUAACUGACGCUGAUGUGCGAAAGCGUGGGGAUCAAACAGGAUUAGAUACCCUGGUAGUCCACGCCGUAAACGAUGAGUGCUAAGUGUUAGGGGGUUUCCGCCCCUUAGUGCUGCAGCUAACGCAUUAAGCACUCCGCCUGGGGAGUACGACCGCAAGGUUGAAACUCAAAGGAAUUGACGGGGACCCGCACAAGCGGUGGAGCAUGUGGUUUAAUUCGAAGCAACGCGAAGAACCUUACCAAAUCUUGACAUCCUUUGACAACUCUAGAGAUAGAGCCUUCCCCUUCGGGGGACAAAGUGACAGGUGGUGCAUGGUUGUCGUCAGCUCGUGUCGUGAGAUGUUGGGUUAAGUCCCGCAACGAGCGCAACCCUUAAGCUUAGUUGCCAUCAUUAAGUUGGGCACUCUAAGUUGACUGCCGGUGACAAACCGGAGGAAGGUGGGGAUGACGUCAAAUCAUCAUGCCCCUUAUGAUUUGGGCUACACACGUGCUACAAUGGACAAUACAAAGGGCAGCGAAACCGCGAGGUCAAGCAAAUCCCAUAAAGUUGUUCUCAGUUCGGAUUGUAGUCUGCAACUCGACUACAUGAAGCUGGAAUCGCUAGUAAUCGUAGAUCAGCAUGCUACGGUGAAUACGUUCCCGGGUCUUGUACACACCGCCCGUCACACCACGAGAGUUUGUAACACCCGAAGCCGGUGGAGUAACCUUUUAGGAGCUAGCCGUCGAAGGUGGGACAAAUGAUUGGGGUGAAGUCGUAACAAGGUAGCCGUAUCGGAAGGUGCGGCUGGAUCACCUCCUUU
rnacentral:rRNA from 1 species